ACAAGUGUCGCCAUCUAACAGUAAUAACUGUUACUUUAUUUUAUCGACAGGUAGAAUAUGUGCCACCAUCUAACGGUACUUGCUAAUACUUCAUCUUACCGACUGGUAGAAUAUGUGCAGCCAUCUAGCGGUAGUUACUGUUACUUCAUUUUACCGACAGACAGAACAUGUGCCGCCAUCUAGCAAUAGUAGAAUAUGUGCCGCCAUCUAGACGUCAGAUAACACAUCACUAACAUAAUUUCGCCUGGAUAAAAUCAACACGGCUACCUGUCAAUGUACUUUGAAUGCAAAUACAGGAUAUAUGCAGUGUAAAAUAUUUAAUUUGAAAAAAGACGAAGAAUCUAGUUAAAAAAUUACAAGUCAUAUUAUUGGAGUAGACUGAAAAUAUAUUCGAUUCCCAUCAUAUCUGAGGACUUACAGAAGUUUCCUGUUACCAAAAGGACAAUCAGAAGACAUCCAAUGGAUUUUUAACACACAUCAGCGGCUAAAAAACCAACGUACUACGUUUUACAAUUAUAUUUUUAUAUAAAUUGUAAUCUAUCUAUCUUACAAAUGAA